rfam:Cavia porcellus supercont2_10 genomic scaffold, whole genome shotgun sequence.
GGGGAUUUAGCUCAGCGGUAUAAGCACCUGCCUUGCAAGCAGGUGGUCAUGAGAUCAAGUCCCA